CUCAGUGAAGAAACCAACACUCUCCACAAUGUCUUUCUGUUUGCUGCUAGUUAUAAUCACAUUCAUUGGCACCAGCAGACAAGACAGCAUUACUCCAACAUCUCCUGCUGUCCAUGUAAAAGAAAAGGAAGCAGCCAGAAUUUCUUGUGAAUACAAGUACACAGUGUCCAUGAAUAAUCUGCAGUGGUAUCGCCAAUAUCCCAAUGCUAAGCCAGAAUUCCUGGUUCUAAUCAUGGAGUCAGGACAAAAUCAAACUGCGACACCGCCUCACCCCCGACUGACCACCUCAGUUAAUAAAGACAAAAAGCUGGUGAAUCUGGAAAUCUUCCCCGCGGAUGUGAAGGAUUCUGCUGUGUAUUACUGUGCACUGCAGCCCACAGUGACAGGAAACACACGCGCACCAUACAAAAACCUACUCAUACAUAUAGAAACCAUCUGA